AUAAUGACUCUCGGCAACGGAUAUCUAGGCUCUUGCAUCGAUGAAGAACGUAGCGAAAUGCGAUACUUGGUGUGAAUUGCAGAAUCCCGUGAACCAUCGAGUCUUUGAACGCAAGUUGCGCCCGAUGCCAUUAGGUUGAGGGCACGUCUGCUUGGGUGUCACA
rnacentral:rRNA from 1 species